UCUGAGGAUAUGAGUGACAGAUAAGAAGGGCUGGUGGGCUCAGUCCUGGCUGGGGCUCAGGAAGCAGAGCCUGGAGCGUCUCCAUCAUGGCCUGGGUUCCACUACUCCUCACCCUCCUCGCUCACUGCACAGGCUCUUGGGCCAACUUUAUGCUGACUCAGCCCCACUCUGUGUCUGGGUCUGUGGGACAGAAAGUCGUCAUCUCCUGCACCCGCAGCAGUGGCAGCAUUGGGAGCUACUACGUGCAGUGGUACCAGCAGCGCCCGGGCAGUGCCCCCACCACUGUGAUCUAUGAUGAUAACGAAAGACCCUCUGGGGUCCCUGAUCGGUUCUCUGGCUCCAUUGACAGCUCCUCCAACUCUGCCUCCCUCACCAUCUCUGGGCUGGAGACUGAGGACGAGGCUGACUACUACUGUCAGUCUUAUGAUAGCAGCAGUUAUCACACAGUGCUCCAGACCCAUGGGGAAGUGAGACAGAAACCCCUUAGAGUAUCUCUACCUGGGCCAGCCUCAUCCUGUCUCCACUGGGGAGGGUAGCUCUCCUUUCUCUCCUGCCUAAGUGCUUGAGGUGAACUUAGCUUAUGACUUUCUCUUUUCCUUUUCAGAAUACCAAUCUGUUCUUCCACA